GUUUGUGCACCUGAGGUAGGAGGCUGCAGUGUGGGACAGUAGGGAUGUGGGAGCAGGACCCCAUGGCUGUGGGAUGGGCUGUUUAAGAUAUUCUCGUGAGGAAUGAUCUCCAGCUCUGAGGACAGGAGAGGCCAGCAGUGGCAAAUGAAGCCAUGAAGUGGCUUGGCUGGAUGUCUCCACCAGUGACGCGACCAUGUGCUGAGCAAGAAGGAAGCAGUGCUGGGCAGCUCUGAGAGGUUUCUGAGAAGAGAGCCAGCAGUGAAACCUGGAGCCUGUUGCAGCUAAUCAAGUCAUGAUGGAAAGAGGCAUGGAAUGUUCUGCAGGUGCUGGAGCUCCGUGAUUUCUAUCAAAAGCUUGUCAUUCCGUGCAGUAGAGGUUCUGUCAUGUGAUAUUACUCCACGCAGAGGGAAGCCAGAGCAGCUUUACACCACUGGAAAAUGCUGAGCUUUGGCUGGGGAAGCUUGGAGUCAGGAGGUGUCUGAGCACAGGGCAGUCCCAUCACUGGAUCUUCACCCAUGUUCCUGCUUCUGCAGCAGAUGAGUUCAGGGAGACUGGUUUAAGCAGUGCAGAAGUUCAUGGAUGGAAGAAGAGUCCUCGUUUCAGAGCACCUAAACAUGAAGAUUUUGUAAACGCCAUUAGGAGAACUGGCGUGCAGGAGGAAUGGAUCUCAUCUGUCUGCUGUGAUUCUUGACCCACCUAAUUGGCUAAUGGCCACGAGCAAUAACAGCGUGGCUCAGGGGAGCGGCGCUGGGGCAGAGAAGCACUGUGCUGUGCUGAAGGCAUUGCGUGUGAUCCUGCCAUUGAUGACCAAACCUCCCUGAAAUCUUCUUAUCAGUUGCUGCCAAGAUGAGAAGGAUAGCAGGGAAGAGGAGUGUGUUAUUGCUCUCACUAAGCAAGGAAGUUGAACUGUUUUCCUGAGCACACCCAGAAUUAAUUCAGCCCAAGCUGAUCAUGUUAUCACAUGCUGGUUACUGCUGGCCCGGGUCAUUCUGAUGGAAGAGCAGGAAGCACACAGACCAGCUGCACCAAUGGCUUACCUGGGAAGGGGUGUCACCAACAGGGGAGUUGUGGAGCUGGUGGUGGUUUGGUGUUUUCAGCAGGUGCAGCUGCAUCUCUAAGGUAAAAAUUUGACCUGUUGGAAAGCUGUGAAACUAUGUUAUGAGUAAUAUUUGUGUUUCAGAGCCACACGGGAUAAUGUAAAGUAAACCUUUGCUCUGUGACUCGUACUGUUCAAUGUGAGUGAAGAGAGGUGGUGUGAGUGUGUGUAGCUGACAGGAUGGUGAUUGCAGGAAAUCCUCUGUGCUAAAGAUGCUUGAAUGGUGCGGAUGCUUCCAUCUCAGCAAACACUGUUGUGUGAACACACUCAUCAGAGAGGUGGCCUUAACCACUACAUGCCUUGAAAGAAGGCUUUUGACACUUGGUGACCUGACUAGCUUUUAGAGAAAAGGGAAGAGCUCUUGCCUCUGCAGCAGAGCCUGUCUUUCUACCCACUGCUGCUGGUCUGCCUGAUUCCUGCAGUAUGGGCAGGAAUCCAGUGAGACAUGCAAGCUCUCAAUGUUCCCUGUGCCAGUAUGGAUGAUCUGUGGUACUGGAGGCAUUCUGGGUAAAGCCAGCACACAUUUCUUCAAACCUGGCCCUUUUUGCAUGAAGACUGUGGAUUGUAGGUGCUGUCCCAUUAACAGGACUUGGGCAGACAAAGAACAAGAGGCUUUCUGAGCAGUUAGAAAUCUGAGAGCAGCAACUCUGCUCGUGUCUCCUCUUGGGGCACUGCUAGAUGAAAAGAAUUCAGUUCAGUCACAGAAAGAACUGAGCUUCCACCUCAGCUGGUGCUGCAUUCGAUACCUUUUAAUUGGUUCUGAGCAGGAGAAUGAGGAAGUAUGCACUGGCCUCUCUCAUGUGCCAUGUAUAAGGGAGGGAAAUAAUGUGUGAUAUCUGGAGAAGAACUUGGUGCACAUCAGGAUAGCACCAUGGCACUGCUUUGCAGGAGAGAACAGCUUCCCCUGGCUGGCGUAUCCACAGCAGCACUGCUGUACCACAGUACCUUCAGACCAAAGCUGUUGCCCAGCCUCGUGUUGGCCUCAAAAGUAGCAUGAGGAGAUGAGAUUUAGGCCUUAGGACUAAGGCAGAUAAUCACGGACUGGGGACUGUCCAUAAACUUAGAGUGGCUAGUAUUUAAAAAUGAUGUGAUGAAAAGAAGUAAUAGAUAUGAUAUGACUGUGUGAGGCCUAUUGCUUUCCUGCCAAGUUUUCAGUAAAUUUGGCUAUGCACUGCUAUACACUGAGGAAAAAAUUUGAACUAAUCUAUCAGACAGUUUUUUAAUCAUGUUAGCCUCUCCUUGCAGUGCAGUGCUCAGUGCAUGCGUGGCUCAAGGAGGCGAACCACAUAAUUUCUAAAAUCCUCAGUUUGCCACUGAAGCAGCCCAUAGGGUGAAGGUGAGGGCAGCUGCAGGCACUCAGUGCUGUGACGACAACCUGAGGUCAGACCCCUGCUGAGCUGUCUGUGUUCAGAAGUGAAGCACCGUGUCUUCCAAGGACUGCUGACACAUCUGUGGCUGCUGAGGGCUGAGCCUACAGAGCUCCUUCAGACAGCCUGGAAUCCUCACAUCUUAAUAUGGGCCAUUGUCAUACCCAUGUUAAAAUAGUUAAUGAAAUACUUGUGGCUUUCUAACCACCCUUUUCAUCUACUCAAGUGUUAAUACCAUAUAGUUUCACAUAAUUAAACCAGUACUGUAAAAUAGCAUCUGUCUUAUGUAGAGCACUGUCAUGGCUACGUUAUGCCAAUGAGUAAAAUUUUAUGUCUGAGCACUUAAAAUGAUCAAGUAUUAUAGUUAAGACUGUCAUAUUGUUUAUGUGGCACUAAAAAGAAAACAAAAUACAAUUUCACAGCAGACAUAUAUACAUAUAUAUAUUUUUUUCUUAUAAAUACUCCAAAUAAUAGGGUGGAUUCAACUAGACUUUCUGUCUCUUCAGUGGUUGCUGCAUUCUGUAUGAAUAUAUCAGGAUCCUGGGCAUUUAAUAAUUUAUUUUUAUUACAAACACAUGAUUUCUCUGUAUGUUUGCCACAGAUCUGUUAGACAAAACAUAACUUCUUGAAUAGCAUUGUACUCUCACUUUCAAACUCCUUUAACUUCAGUUCAAUCUUGGUUGAAUACAACGCAUUCCUGAAAACAAUCUGUACAUCUGUAACAUGGCAAGUUGAUUUUAUAGGAUUGUUUUCAUAUUUGAGACAUAGCAAAACAUUUUCAAGGUGAUGCAUGUUGAUAUAUGGGGAUAAAGAUCAGUUACUGACAAAGUCUAAGGUGCAAGUUUUUAAUAAGACUAAUGAAUAAUUAGAAAUUAUCAGAAAAGGAAUAGCAGAUUUUCUAGCACUUUAGGAUUUUGAAGGCAUGUGAAAUGGUUUCACAGAGGUGUAUGCCUGAUCAAAUGGCUGAGCGGGGUGGAAGAAUUCCUUGCAGGCUUCUGUGGUUUCUGUUACACCUGGGUUCAGGCUGAGUCGCCUUAGUUGUGUUUUUGGCUUAGAACAGAAGGAGGUACCUCGGUGUAACGAAGAGCUGGGGCAUGGCAGCUCCCACUGAACUGCUAGGCACCUUUUUGUAAGUCCUUUCUUUAAAAACAACAACAAAAACGUUUGGGACAGAUGGAACAAAACCAACUAAUUUGGCAAACCUUCUCCCUUCCACAAUCAAGCCUUUCUCAAAAAUGCUAUUUAAUAUCACGGCACUUGGUUCCAAGGAGUGUGAUGUUUCAUUGGCUUUAGGUGGGUUUAUUUCCUCCAUCCAUCCAUCCACCCCAGCGCCAAUGAAUCAAGCAGCACAUGAAUUUUUUUCAGAGCAACAGUCUUUUGUACACUGCUGCAAAGUGUAAUGUCGCCUCGUUGCUAGAAAUAAUUAUUAGGUUUAAAAUAAUCUGACAGCGUCCUGCUGUGUAUAAAUUAGGUUUGUUCCCUGCUAAGAUCAGUUUGCUGGCACCCAUUCACUAACACAUCACCAGAACGCGAUCGCAAGUUGAUCGCAUCCGGUUAUCUGCCUUUUUUCUUCUUACUGGGCUUUUUGUUGCUGUGCUGUCACCCAGGUUGAAAUAAAUGCAUGCAACUCGUGCGAUUCAAAGUUCUGUGCAGCCUGGGGAGAUGGUAGUGGCUGUUCAGCAGCAGGCUCAGGGGCACAGGCACUGCAGAAGGGAAGCAGUUGUUUGCGCUUCAACUUCUGAAUCUUGUGCAACUUUGGUUUUGGCCAACUUGGGUAUCUUCUGCUCUCAGACAAGCAAUAUGUUAUCAGUGAGGUCCCAAAUGCCAGGUAUAAUUAGCUCAUGUUUAGAGUGGUGUUGUUAUGUUUUGACGUGUAUGUGCAAGCCUGCUUUCAUGCAGAAGAACAUAUUUGACGUGGGAAGAAUGCUGUGUGAUUCAGAAAAAGUUAGAAACAUUACUUAAAGCUGUGCACUGAUGUUUCAGAUUUCAUAAAAGGCCACAAAGUUUUUAUUUCUACGUUCAUGAUUGAUUAGGGUUAGAGUUUUAAAGGCUUAACGCUGCCUACAAGUACUUUGUAGUCAGUCACUGAGAAUUAUAGGCUUGGCAUAAUUCACAUUUCUAUUCUUCAGUAUAUCCAUUAUUGUUAGAUGCUGAGUAGUCAUUGCACACAGAUGACUGAUUUUUUUUAAAUUUUAUUUUACAGUUUUACACAUGUGGAAAAAUACUUUGUUAGAGCAGCUCCUGGGUGAACGGGGUAAUUAAAGAACUGCGCCGCUUUUAUUGGAGUUGACACAUGCUGCAUGUUCUUAAGACCCAGUAUGUGAGCAGAAUGCUUCCAGGAUUUAUUGCCAGUCAGACAAGUAAAGAUACUUUUAAUAGGAAUAAAGAUAACUUCAAUUUUUACACUGUUAAAUAAAACUGUCUUUAGGAAGAGAACUAUGACUGUGAUACACUGCUUGUGCCCUUGUUUUUUUUUUCUGUAUAUAUGCAUUUUGUAGACACACCUGCACACAAAUGCUGGAGACAUGAUCACUUUUAUUUGACAGUAAUUGUAUGUUCUGUUUUUACUUAUCUGGAGAAAAAAUAGUGUUGUAAUGCUGACUGAGGAUCUUAGUUUGCUUGGUGCCAGAGGAAUCCUGCAGUUGGUUUCUUUAUUUAAACUGAAAUGCAAUCCUCCUUAGUUUGACUUGCAGCUCUUAGUGUCUGAGAGCUUGGUGUAGCAAGCAAGGAAUUUCAUGUAACAUAAAUUGGAGACUCGGUUUUGUUUUAAAUGAUGAGCGCAGUGUUCUGCAUGCGUAAUGCCUUGCAAGUUGUGAAAAAAGUAGACUCGUAACUGCAGCACAGAGUGGCUAAGUGCAUUGUACAUGAAAUCCCUCAAAAUGGCUAUUGAACAGAUACAGUUACUGACAAUGUCAUUUUUUGUGAUGUGAUCUGUUUCCUUUCCUCUGCUUUCUUUUUCCAACAUAUUGGAACAAUUUGAGGUCCAUUUGAGAACACUCAGUCUGCCUUUCCUGUUAACAGCUCGUGUCUAAAAGUAUCUUUAGCAUUCCUUUUUUUAAAACUACAAAUACGUGUUUAAGGCAGAGUUCACAAACACAUAGCUCUCAAGAUCAAGCCAGUUCUUAGCUCACUUUGCAUGCCUUUUGUUCACACAGCUCGCGGUGUGGAGCACCCUGCCAAGCACACUGCUCCUCUGAGCUGCAGUGAGAAGUGGAUGACCAGUGCUGCACACAGCUAAGCACACAGCCUUAUCAGCAAGCGUGCUUUAGGUAGGUACGGGUGCAAAGUGCUUUCCUGAAGGAGCAGGCAGGUGUGGAAAAUAUCGGAAGGCCAGUUCUUCUGCUGUGACUCCUUACAGCAAGCCCAGCGCCGGGCUGACACUGUCAGCAGCAGCCACACCUCUGCCAGCCCCAGGCGGUGCCAGGUGGGUGGAGGCCUGGGAUCAGUGGGAAGGGACACAGCAGGGAAGACAAACAUGCUGUUGUUUUCUGAGCGCUUCCAGGUUAAAGCACGGCCAUCUCCAUCUCCACGCUGACAGAGAGGAAGUCGCAGAGUCACACUGUUGAGCAGCACAGAGGCUGGAGGUGAUUUUUUUUUAUUUUUUUAUUUUUUUCCUCCCCCAAAGUCUUCUUUUAAAAUAGUUAUAAUUAAAUCACAGAACUUUUGCAUGGAAAGCCAGUGGCAGUUAUUUAAUAAGAAAUGCUUUGUUAAGCAUUAAAUUUUUUAAAUUCUUAGUAGCAUCAUGUAUUAUCUGUACUUUGUGUUGUUCUUACAGCUAUUUGGCUUAAGACCAUCAUGCUUUCACUUCCGUAUUUUGGGACAUUUAAACUGUUAAACUCUAAGCACUUUUCAGGCAUUACGUUUGACUUACUGUUAUUACGUACAAUAAAAUAUAACAGAACACAAUAUUAAAGUCUGUGCUGAAAGAAUAUUAUUUGGUGGCUACAAAUAAAGAAUGCAGACAAGUUUUUAAAAUCUGUUUGGGUUUUCAUUUUUUUGCUAAUUCUUUAAAGGAAGUGUUGUAAUUAUUAGCAUUAUUUUUAAUACAGGAAAAAAAGUGUUCCUUACUGGGAAG